rnacentral:lncRNA from 1 species
GAAAAGAAAUUCUUUGGGGAAGAAAUUGAUGCCUCUAAGAUCAAACUUGAGGAAGUUCAAUAGAUAGAAUCGACACAAUCUAGCGAACCCACAGAACUAGAUUUGAUGAUGUCAAAUCAGAAACUUAUUAUAGAGAUGCCAUUAAGGAGACCGAUAGAGUAUCACGUCAACCGGAUAGAUGCUAUAGUUUUUUUAUCUAGAACGGAGAUCCUAUUGAACUUGAUAAGAAUAAUGAGGAUCCGAUCACCUAUAUGAAUGCAAUGUAGAGGUCCGACUCUGAUAAAUAGCUUGAAGCCAUGAAAUUCAAAAUGGAGUCCAUGAAGGUCAAUGAUGCGUGGACAUUAAUUGACCCACCUUAAGGGGUUAAACCUAUAGGAUAUAAGUAG